UGAGUAUUUGGACGACAGUGAUAUAUGGGAAACUCAGUUUUGAUGAAAAGUUUUGAAAAGCCUGCCCCCCACUAUUCGUUUUGGGUGCCCGCAGAAACCGCGCAGGGAAUUUUCAUUCAUUGGAACAUCAGUGACAGAGCUAAACUCUGUCAUUGGAGGCAGGAAACCUCGAUCGUGGGAGAGACCUCAUUCAUAAUCAUGGCAGGCAUGAAUUCCAUUGUUGGUAAGCAUAUUAGGACCAAAGUCACCUGGGUUUCUCUCACUCUUUCUCUGUGGAUCUUUUGUAGUGCCUUGUGUUCGACCAGGUGCUAAACGUCGGCUAGAUUGCUUGAGUUUAUUGCAUCACCUUCGUUUGCUCUUCAAAUCAACCUCACUGCUCGCCUUUCUAGAGGCCAUUUGUCCUCGACUGCCAGAAUAACAUUCAGCAAAGAGUCCUUCAUGGGAGGAGCCCCAAUCUCGCAGAGGCCCCUACCCAGAUUGAAACAAACAUUGAAAGCAGGUUUUUGUCACUCACUUGAUUCUUGUGUAGUUGAGGGCACUGAUAAUCCGGCAUUUCUUGAUGUUUCUUUGACUUUAAAAAGGGACAUAUAUAUAUAUAUGUAGAUUUUGUACUGACUUUGUGGAUCACUUACCCCCUCCACAAGAUCCAUGUAUGUCCCCCCCUAGUUCCAUGUUAAUGUAGGCAAUUUUUACGAGUGUACCGGUGCUUCAAGAGAAAGAAAGAAUGAACUCUUACCAAUCUAAUAAAAUACUAUAAUUGUACAUAAUGUGUGAUUGUAUUUGUUCAACUGUUAUUUCAAACUCAUUAAUGUUCAGCUGAAGUUCAUUUCUAGUAGCUUCACCAAAAUGGUUUUUGUCAUCCAAAAUAAAAAAAAAAAAACCAAGUUCAAAUAAGUUAAGACCUUGGUUUGGAUAGUCAUCCAAACAGACAAACCAGGUCUUAAAACACAGUUUAGAAAACAAAAUGAGAUUUUAAGGGGGUGUCAUCCAAGACGAUGAUGGGAAGAUGACAAUGCGGUAAAACAUGACCACAAAAGGUUCAAAAUGAAAACAUGGAGUGUUAUAAACCACGUUCUUCAAGUGAGCAAGAGUUAAGAGGACAAAAGGGAAUGGAAAUCAACGAAAUUAGAAACAAUGAUGAUAGAGAUGAGGCCGCAGCUUUGUGGUUUGCAGCUUUCAUAAAGAGAUAUCAGGAAGAAGCACAUUCAUACAAUGAUCCUCAUCGAAAUCGCUCAUUCUCAGUUCCCGGAUAUAAACUGAAAACCAGAAGCUUCUUACACAGACGGUAAAAGAAAAGAAAGUAAAGUUAAGCUAGAUUGAAUUAGCAAUGAAGGAACCACAAAUGUCGCCGAUAGGAGUCCCUUGUCCAUGCGUUUAUUGAUCAUAAAAUGCAUGUCUUACUGUUAACCAGAUUGAACAAAAAAGACAACAAAAGGAAGGGAACAUUCCGCAAAAAAAAAAAAGGAACAAAACAAAA